rnacentral:rRNA from 1 species
GACGAACGCUGGCGGCGUGCCUAAUACAUGCAAGUCGAACGCUUUUUCUUUCACCGGAGCUUGCUCCACCGAAAGAAAAGGAGUGGCGAACGGGUGAGUAACACGUGGGUAACCUGCCCAUCAGAAGGGGAUAACACUUGGAAACAGGUGCUAAUACCGUAUAACAAUAGAAACCGCAUGGUUUCUAUUUGAAAGGCGCUUUUGCGUCACUGAUGGAUGGACCCGCGGUGCAUUAGCUAGUUGGUGAGGUAACGGCUCACCAAGGCAACGAUGCAUAGCCGACCUGAGAGGGUGAUCGGCCACAUUGGGACUGAGACACGGCCCAAACUCCUACGGGAGGCAGCAGUAGGGAAUCUUCGGCAAUGGACGRAAGUCUGACCGAGCAACGCCGCGUGAGUGAAGAAGGUUUUCGGAUCGUAAAACUCUGUUGUUAGAGAAGAACAAGGAUGAGAGUAAAAUGUUCAUCCCUUGACGGUAUCUAACCAGAAAGCCACGGCUAACUACGUGCCAGCAGCCGCGGUAAUACGUAGGUGGCAAGCGUUGUCCGGAUUUAUUGGGCGUAAAGCGAGCGCAGGCGGUUUCUUAAGUCUGAUGUGAAAGCCCCCGGCUCAACCGGGGAGGGUCAUUGGAAACUGGGAAACUUGAGUGCAGAAGAGGAGAGUGGAAUUCCAUGUGUAGCGGUGAAAUGCGUAGAUAUAUGGAGGAACACCAGUGGCGAAGGCGGCUCUUUGGUCUGUAACUGACGCUGAGGCUCGAAAGCGUGGGGAGCAAACAGGAU